AUUGAACGCUGGCGGCAUGCUUUACACAUGCAAGUCGAACGGCAGCGCGGGCUUCGGCCUGGCGGCGAGUGGCGAACGGGUGAGUAAUACAUCGGAACGUGCCCAGUAGUGGGGGAUAGCUCGGCGAAAGCCGGAUUAAUACCGCAUACGACCUGAGGGUGAAAGCGGGGGAUCUUCGGACCUCGCGCUAUUGGAGCGGCCGAUGCCAGAUUAGCUAGUUGGUGGGGUAAAGGCCUACCAAGGCGACGAUCUGUAGCUGGUCUGAGAGGACGACCAGCCACACUGGGACUGAGACACGGCCCAGACUCCUACGGGAGGCAGCAGUGGGGAAUUUUGGACAAUGGGCGAAAGCCUGAUCCAGCAAUGCCGCGUGUGUGAUGAAGGCCUUCGGGUUGUAAAGCACUUUUGGCGGGAACGAAAAGGACUGUGCCAAUACCACGGUUCGAUGACGGUACCCGCAGAAUAAGCACCGGCUAACUACGUG
rnacentral:rRNA from 1 species